GGCCGUCGAUCAUGUACCUCAUAAAGAAAAACCAGCGGUCCGGCGGUGAUGGCAGGACGUUGAGGCCGCCCACCGUUCCGCCCGCAGCGCCGCCGUGCACGGCGGUGGAGCCACGUUGGGGAAGCUGCUGUCCUCCCUCGACCGCCGGAAGCUGUACCGGGACGUCAUGCAGGCGCUCCGCUCCGGCCUCCGUGACGCCUCGGCCGAUUUCUCCUUCCUGAGGCUCAGAGGCCUCCGGAACCUUCUCAAGUCCCUCCGAUCCAUCGCCGACUCUGAUACCACCAUCCUUUUCUUUCGUCACUCCCAAUCCAUUCCCCAGCUCCAAGUGGUUCCAGUUCUGUUUAAGACUAGUUUACGACAAUUAGAAGAUUGUCCUAUGGUGAAUGCGGACCAUAGAUUUGGGGUGGAGCCUCUGAAGAUAAAUAGCAAUGCUACUGACUCUGAAGUUGCUCUUGCUCUUAGAGUAUUCGAAGGAUGUUGUCUGCUCCACUUAGGUUGUGCAGCUUUGGCUCACCAGCAUAAGGCUAUCAAGGUGCUUAUAAAAAUAUUAUCAACCCGAGGAAUGCUUGAGCAGGGAGCAUGCUUGGAUGCACUAAUAUCAUUGUUGUUAGAUUCUCCAGCUAACCAGAAGGAUUUUGAGGCAUGCCAUGGUAUAAAGAAAAUUGCAGAGCUCAUGAAAGACAAGCAAGGGGAUGAUAAUCUAAGGUUAAAAUGUGGGGAGUUCUUGCUGUUACUUACCGGGCAUGUACAUGGAAGAAGGGAACCCACCCCUUUGGCAACCAUACUAGAAGAAAUAAACGAAAUUUUAGGUGAAAAAUGUACAUCUUUUAUAUGGGCAGCUAGCCAGUUUGGCUCAACCCUAGACCGAGAUAAAAGACAAACUGCUCUGUGCACCCAAGCGCACCAAGUUCUAGAGUUGUUGGAGCUGUACCAAUGAAGAUGUCAUGUCAUACAUCAGCCUUUUGUUGUAAACAGACCGACAGUUUCUACUUUCUAACAGCUACAAUUUUUAGUUUUCUUACCUUAUAUCCACGGCUCAUGAAAAUUUAAUCAGCAUCAAGCUGCGCAUCUUCACUAAUUUGCACUAAAAAAUUUUGGUAAAAACUUUUGGUAAGGAUGUGCUUCUGGGCUGAGUAGCUGAUUACUUAUAUGUAGUUGUACAGAAAUUUAACCAUAUCAAAUAUCGAUAAGAUUAUUCUUUUA